rnacentral:rRNA from 1 species
GACCCCAGGUCAGGCGGGAUCACCCGCUGAAUUUAAGCAUAU